rnacentral:rRNA from 1 species
UACGGAGGGUGCAAGCGUUAUCCGGAUUCACUGGGUUUAAAGGGUGCGUAGGUGGGCAGGUAAGUCAGUGGUGAAAUCCCCAAGCUUAACUUGGGAACUGCCAUUGAUACUAUUUGUCUUGAAUACCGUGGAGGUGAGCGGAAUAUGUCAUGUAGCGGUGAAAUGCUUAGAUAUGACAUAGAACACCGAUAGCGAAGGCAGCUUACUACAGGUUCAUUGACGCUGAGGCACGAAAGCGUGGGGAGCAAACAGG